GAGUGUUUGCCCGAGUGGUUAAUGGGGAGGACUUGAAAUCCACUGGACGCGGUCCGCGUGGGUUCGAACCCCGUUGCACUCA
rnacentral:tRNA from 1 species